GGAAAUGGAGAAAACAAGCUUUAUUGUAACGAGUUCAGCUUUUGCGCAUGGUGGAAAUAUACACUGUGACUCUUGUUUCUCCUAUGUUUCAAGACAAUUCAUUUAAAGUUUCAUUGUAGACUAAAGCAUCCAAAAUACAGUGAUACAGACGUAGCUAUGAACGGACAAACCCUUCGAUGCACAGCGUUCAUUCUUUUCUUUAAAUAGGCAGUCAGCGUUUUGAUUGGUUAAAGAACAAAGGACGAAAACCUAGCAACACCAAUGGCAGGGGCGCAAGGUUCCGCGUUCUGUACACGCAGCACAGGAAGCAGACCUACACAGAUGGAAUGUACAACAUCUAAAAAGAAGAAGAAAAGGAAGCAAAAAACCUUCAUACUCAUCCCUAAGAUUGAAAGGCUAUAGAAGUGAGAAUGCGCUGGUGAACGGAGGAUACUAUGGAGUCCAGAUGUCCAAAAAAAGAUUGUUUGUUCCCGUUUGAAAGACUGCAGAUUAACUGAUAUUUCUUUGCUAUUUCCUCCGACAAACCCAGUAGGUAUUACCAAAGCGUGUAUGUUACCCUUCAGUGUUAAGGACCCACAGAAACCUGCUAGUUAACUCCAGUUAACUGUGUUAGGACAUACCCUGUAUACUUAGUAAUGGAAACAAGCAGUCUCAUCGCAUGGAUCUGUGUCCAAUCUACCCAAACAGUCAACGAAAAUUAGGAACCUUGAGGACUUGUUUAGUUCUGGGGACUAAAGAGUGAUCAAAAUACUAAAGACUAUUUUUUUAAUGGCAAACAGUCAUAAAGGCUUCGUGUUGGUGUGUUUCUGGACGGUCAGGUGACGCCAGCUCCCCGUGUCCAGCAGGGGAGGUCUGUAGUGGGAAAGACGACCUGUCACUGACCUCACUCAUCCUAAGUGGCAAUGGUUUGCCACUAGUGCCCAAGGGGAAUUGGAACAAGUUAACUUCUCAAUGCUACUUAUCAUGACUAUGGGACAGGUUCUAAACACAUGACAGAGAAAUCAAACAACCAGGGGGCCCAGGAAAAAAGCCACUCAUCUUAACAUCCUUCUCAGUUUACUAGAAGCCAUUUUCCAUAGAAUGUGUCAACGUUUCACUUAAAUAUUGACUAUUUUUUUUAUUAAAUCUUAGCAGCACUGUUCCCCCAAAAUAUGCUUACUGAGAAAUACAGUGAAUGUACGUCAGCAUCCAAGUAUGAGAUGUCACCUACACCUUCACGUACCACUACAUAUAUUAGGGGGAAAAUAUCGUAUUUCCUGGAGUGUCCAUAGCGCGUGUUUUAGUAACAGAUAGUGGAACCGAUCAGACUCAAACUAUCCUUUUAUUCCAGUUUGUACCAACAAGUAAAAACAUUAGUGUGUACCCAGGCUCCUACUGAAGUGCCUACUGUCACAUACUAUGGUCCCAAAGGAUGGCUGGUUAGUUUCUAAGUUCACGUCUAGAGAUAAUUGAACUGUUUGCCAACGCACCUCUGCCAAUAAACGCGUUUUCAGAUCCGUAGGCUGGGACCGAGUCCAGACUGCGAGCCAUUCUUACCUGUGACACACUAACAGGAAUUUAAUGAAAAGGUUUGCUUUUAAACAGUCUAGGAAUGAUCAAGUCUAGCCUAUCUUUCAGAUAGAACUUAGUAAACAGGUACAAUGAACUUUCCUCCCAGAAGGGAGCCCCCCCCAGGAGGCAGGGGUGUAGGUCUGUUUUAGAGAAAUCCAUUGUCAGGCACCUGGUAGGCAACUCAAUAAAUAUCAAAGUUUGAAUUCAAAGCCCUAGUUCUCUGACGUUAGGAAACAGUGUUUCAGUUGAACAUUCUAAAACUCUUAUUGAAUUGUAAAACUUCAUCACAGACAGGCUCAAAUACUUUUAAAACUCUACCUAACUAAAAAAAAAAAAAAAAACACAAAACUGGGAAGCUUCCCAAAGAAACUUUUUUCAGAAGUUGACUGGGGCCUCAUAAACUUAAUAGACAAUUAAAAAGAGCUAGAUUUUUCCUUCUACCUUUAAAAAAAAAAAAAAGUCCUAAAGAGAGAAUGACUGAAUGAUUAGGUGGUCAGGAAAGUCCUGAUGUAAAUUUCUUUUUUUUUUUCCUAUGCAAAAAUGCGUCAUGACUUUACCGACAACCCAAUAUAAAUUAAUAAGCAGCAGACAUCACAUUUCUAGAAUUAUACACACAGGAAAUGUUUUCUUAUAGUACAGUUCUAAGGUGCUUUCAGUGAAAAGAAAAGAAAAAAAAAAAUCCCCAAGUCGUUACUGAAAUGCCCAACUUGACAUCCUAUUUGGUAGAACUGAGUAGAAAAUCAAACAGUGGGAAGAGACUACAUCUUACCUGACAGUAUCAAUGACAGAUUUCA